rnacentral:rRNA from 1 species
GAUGAACGCUAGCUAUAGGCUUAACACAUGCAAGUCGAGGGGAAACGGCAUUAUGUGCUUGCACAUUUUGGACGUCGACCGGCGCACGGGUGAGUAUCGCGUAUCCAACCUGCCCUUUACUUGGGUAUACCCCGUUGAAAGACGGCCUAAUACCCGAUGUAAUUCAUUGAUGGCAUCAGAUAUGAAUAAAAGAUUUAUCGGUAAAGGAUGGGGAUGCGUCUGAUUAGCUUGUUGGUGAGGUAACGGCUCACCAAGGCGACGAUCAGUAGGGGUUCUGAGAGGAAGGUCCCCCACAUUGGAACUGAGACACGGUCCAAACUCCUACGGGAGGCAGCAGUGAGGAAUAUUGGUCAAUGGGCGCAAGCCUGAACCAGCCAAGUAGCGUGCAGGAAGACGGCCCUAUGGGUUGUAAACUGCUUUUAUACGAGAAUAAUUUGAUGCACGUGUGCGUUAUUGCAUGUAUCGUAUGAAUAAGGACCGGCUAAUUCCGUG